rnacentral:rRNA from 1 species
CCUACGGGCGGCAGCAGUGAGGAAUAUUGGUCAAUGGGCGCUAGCCUGAACCAGCCAAGUAGCGUGAAGGAUGACUGCCCUAUGGGUUGUAAACUUCUUUUAUAUGGGAAUAAAGUGCAGUAUGUAUACUGCUCUGCAUGUACCUUAUGAAUAAGGAUCGGCUAACUCCGUGCCAGCAGCCGCGGUAAUACGGAGGAUCCGAGCGUUAUCCGGAUUUAUUGGGUUUAAAGGGAGCGUAGGCGGGUGGUUAAGUCAGUUGUGAAAGUUUGCGGCUCAACCGUAAAAUUGCAGUUGAUACUGGCAUCCUGGAGUACAGUAGAGGUAGGCGGAAUUCGUGGUGUAGCGGUGAAACGCUUAGAUAUCACGAAGAACUCCGAUUGCGAAGGCAGCCUGCUGGACUGUAACUGACGCUGAUGCUCGAAAGUGUGGGUAUCAAACAGGAUUAGAUACCCUAGUAGUC